rnacentral:tRNA from 1 species
GCCUGGGUGGCUGAAUCGGUUAGGCGUCCGACUUCGGCUCCGGUCAUGAUCUCCCUAGUGUGUGGGUUCAAGACCCACAUCGGGCU